rnacentral:rRNA from 1 species
GGGUGCUCGGGUGGCGAACGGGUGAGUAACACGUGAGUAACCUGCCCUUGACUUUGGGAUAACUUCAGGAAACUGGGGCUAAUACCGGAUAGGAGCUCCUGCUGCAUGGUGGGGGUUGGAAAGUUUCGGCGGUUGGGGAUGGACUCGCGGCUUAUCAGCUUGUUGGUGGGGUAGUGGCUUACCAAGGCUUUGACGGGUAGCCGGCCUGAGAGGGUGACCGGCCACAUUGGGACUGAGAUACGGCCCAG